UCCUACGGGGGGCAGCAGUGAGGAAUAUUGGUCAAUGGGCGCGAGCCUGAACCAGCCAAGUCGCGUGAGGGAAGACGGUCCUAUGGAUUGUAAACCUCUUUUGUCGGGGAGCAAAAGACGCCACGCGUGGCGUUCCGAGAGUACCCGAAGAAAAAGCAUCGGCUAACUCCGUGCCAGCAGCCGCGGUAAUACGGAGGAUGCGAGCGUUAUCCGGAUUUAUUGGGUUUAAAGGGUGCGCAGGCGGAAGAUCAAGUCAGCGGUAAAAUUGAGAGGCUCACCCUCCUCGAGCCGUUGAAACUGGUUUU
rnacentral:rRNA from 1 species